rnacentral:rRNA from 1 species
GAAUUGUUCGCAAUGGGCGCAAGCCUGACGACGCAAUGCCGCGUGGAGGAUGAAGAAUUUCGGUUCGUAAACUCCUUUCGACCGAGAUGAAGAUCCACCGAUCUAAUACAUCGGUGGACUGACAGUAUCGAGGGAAGAAGCCCCGGCUAACUCCGUGCCAGCAGCCGCGGUAAUACGGGGGGGGCGAGCGUUGUUCGGAAUUACUGGGCGUAAAGGGUUCGUAGGUGGCUUGCUAAGUCAGACGUGAAAUCCCUCGGCUCAACCGGGGAAUUGCGUCUGAAACUGGCGAGCUUGAGUGCAGGAGAGGAACGCGGAAUUCCAGGUGUAGCGGUGAAAUGCGUAGAUAUCUGGAGGAACACCGGUGGCGAAGGCGGCGUUCUGGACUGCAACUGACACUGAGGAACGAAAGCCAGGGUAGCAAACGGG